rnacentral:rRNA from 1 species
CCCUUAGAUGUCCUGGGCCGCACGCGUGCUACACUGACACCUGCAACGAGUUAUUCCAGCUCCGAAAGGCAGUUGGUAAUCAGAAAUAGGUGUCGUGAUGGGGAUAGACCCUUGGAAUUAUGGAUCUUGAACGAGGAAUGCCUAGUAAGCGCACGUCAUUAGCGUGCGCUGAUUAAGUCCCUGCCCUUUGUACACACCGCCCGUCGCUCCUACCGAUUUCGAGUGGUCCGGUGAGCCUUUUGGAGAGUGAGCGUCCUUGAGGCGCUUGCUCGAAGUCAGGCAAAUCUUACUACUUAGAGGAAGGAUAAGUCGUANCA